CAUCACAACCAUGGUGGGUUUUAAAUUAAUUCCACCCAAAUCGUAUUCUCCGACUUUUCUUGUAUAUUUAGUAGCAGUAGGCUAAUGAUAAUUUGGCUGUCAAUAAAACAAGCAUUACAAUUAUUUAUUUUAUUUUAUUUUCAACAUUUGCAAAACAACACGGGAAAUAUGUUCGACCAAUCAUACUUCUCAUCAUGACAUUUCUAGGCUACACGCUUGCUCGUCAAUGCUAGGAUAUUCUUCGGAGACUAGUUAUAAUAUUUAGGCUAUAUCAUAGGCCUAGUUCUGACAUUCAAGCAACUGCAAUGACCAGCAAGCUAAAUGUGGUGCAAAAAAGAAAACAGUUAUAUUUUAUUUGAUACCACGCUAUCACUUGUAAGAGGUGUAAACAUUCCGGGCGGUCUUCACAACGUGACACCGUGACAUCAAGAAGUCACAUGUUGGGAUUCGUCUAAUCGUUGAUCAUUUAAUUUCCUCGCUUGUUAAAUCAAGACGUAACUUGGAUCAGGAAACUUCCUUGACCGACCAGUCAUCGCGCUAGCGCGAGUUAGUAGCAGUUAUUGGCAGCAAUGCUUGAGCAACAUGGGACUGUAACUGGCUGCAAGUUUCAUUGUUUGGCAUGGAUUUUAACCGGGGUUCAAGAAAAAGCUGCUGUUGUGAAGACCAUGUACAUGACAGACAUGAGGAUGUGAUUACUGCCUGCAUGUCUUCAAACUAAUGUGAAAUUGUCCUCCACAAUGGAAUGCAGAAAGGAAUGUUGCAAAGAAGGAAAUGCAAACACACCUGCAGCUGGUUGCAACAGUUAAACAUCUUUUUCACUGAAAUCAAUUAUGGGAAACAACGAGGGGAAUUGGCCACUUCACCACAAACUCUCUCUUUGGAGGAAGGCCGCACGGAGGUACCAUCCGAGAAUACGUCACCAGGGAUACGAUGGAGCUGGGGGACAUUGGGUCUGAAGACAGCAAGGAGGAUAAAACUCAAAAUUCCCAUAGCAGAGGCUUCCAACCCGUCUCUCCUGGGGAAAAGGGGAGACAAGGAGCAGCAUGGUUAAGGAACACUUACGCUGGGACAUUACAAAUGCCUCUGACUGAGUGAUACUCUGGCUGAGUGAUGACUCACUGACAAUUUUUUAUUUUUAUACAGUGGUCCCAAGUAUCGCAAAGUUCACUUGUUUAAUAAUAGGUUUUUAAUUCCAUAGUUAGCGCAUAUGUCCACUCCAGUAACAUGGCUUCUAAAGUUCACAAGAUGGCACAAGACCUCUUCCUCUUGAGUCCCAGCAGGAGAUUAGAAAGGAAUCAUCCCGUAGGCUUAAUUACUAUUUAGACAUAUUUAAUUAAAUUAUUUUUAAACUAAUUAAAAAAAAGAUAUAUAUUUUUUAUUUUAAAGUGUUUAAUAAAAAGUUUAAAGGGAGUGUACCAUUUAUAAAUGAAAAGCAUGAAGGACAAGUUGCAUUGUGAUUC